AUGGACACAGAAAGGCAUGCCAUACAUUUUCUUGUACAAAGUGGAAUUUCCUACUGUAUCGUAAUCCUAAUAGGAGUGGAGAACAUAUACAGUGUUACCUUCAGACACUUGGUCUCAUGUGGCCUGCAUCAUCAGAUGUGGCAACCCCCGACCCUGGCCACCAUGAGGAGCAUGGAUCCCUGGACAGAUGCUGCUGGACACCUCAUUCAGGAGACCCCAGAGGAGAAUGUCGGGAGGAUCCAUAAAAGCUGUGUCCAGUGGAAUGAGUGGAAGCUGCAGCGGCGCCUCCAGCUCAAGAGACAGGACCUGUCUGAAACCUACAAGAACAGAGAAUUCUUUCAAGUCAACAUGUGA
rnacentral:lncRNA from 13 species